rnacentral:misc_RNA from 1 species
GAAAUGCGAUACGUAGUGUGAAUUGCAGAAUUCAGUGAAUCAUCGAGACCUUGAACGCACCUUGCGCCUGGGAGCCCUCUCCCAGGCAUGACUGUUGGAGUGGCGCUUCACCAUCCUUCCCACACACCCUUCUCCUGUUUUUGCAACAGGAAAGAAGAAGGGCGGGAGGGGCGAAUGGGCGUCGGAGAGCCUCUGUGUUGUCCGUCGCCUGAAAGAGAGCGCGCUCUGGGGAAGAACAGGUUGCUUCCGAGCGAGUGUGGUAGCAGCGCCCUUCGCGGCCUGACGAUCACUCUGCCGGAGGUGUGUGCCUCCUUGCCCAGCCAGCUGCGAUCAUCGGAAGCCAAACGUUCCUCGCGGAACAAACACCACCCCGCCCUCCAAUCAGUCAAGGCUACCCGCUGAACUUAA